CAUCACAAGUCACAUUUCCUACGUUUUGUGAUCAAAGCAGGAGUGAGUUAUUUAAGUGCUUAGCUUUUUUCUUUUCUCUUAUUGGCCGUUUUCUCGAGUUUUGUUUACUGCUGAAGGUGAGAAAUGUAUAAAUUACUUGUUUUCAUUUGACCCGUGGUCGUGUGUCCGUGUUCGUUGCAGUUUGCAUAGGUUUCUUCAAAUUAAGCUAUCCAAUUUGAAUAAGCAUUAGAAAUGUCUGAGGGCAAUCGCAAGUAUCAGAUGUCAGCGGGCUCUGGCAAGAGAAAAGCAAACGAUUCGCCCCCCGAUGCUGCAUUAGCCAAUAAUAACGCUAAAAAACCAAAAAAGAAGAAAGGCAAAGCUAAACAAAAUGAGCCAGAGAAAUGGACACACAAUGUGGAAAGAAUAUUAGAGAAGCGCUACGUGAGUGGGCGAGCGCAACUAUUGCUAAAGUGGGUUGGGUACCCAAUAGAGGAAAGCACCUGGGAGCCCAUUGAGAACUUAAGCGGAGAUUGCAUGAUCAUGCUAGCGGACUUUGAGGCAGCUCUAUAUUCCAAACAAUGCCAAAAGCCCAAACAUCAAGCGGCCGAGCCGACGCGAUCAUUAAACACAUCUCAGUCCGGCUCGACUGAAAGUGCCAAAGAGAACAAACAACAGUCAUGUCCCGUUAUGACACCACAACAGCCUGUUAAUGUGUUCGAAGCCAAGCACGAAUUGCAGAAGAGAGGGGAGCAGAGCGAACUGCAAAGAGAGCAACAGCGACCCCAGCAAAAAAAGCAACUGCAGAUGCACGAAAGAGAGCUUCGUGAGCAAAAGGAACGAAGCCAGCUACUGCAGAAGCCGCCAGGCCGGGAACCACAAGUGCGUAAGGAACAGUCACAGCUGCAGACUAAAUCCAAAAUGCCAAAACUAUGCAAGGAUCUUAUGCUCAGCAGCGACAGUAGCGGCAACAGCAGCAGCAGUGACAGCGACAGUGAAAGCUCCAGUGGUCAUAGCAGUAGCAGCAGCAGCGGCAGCGGCAGUGGCAGCAACAGCAGCAGCAGUGGAGGUAGCAGCAGCAGCAGCAGCAGCGAAAGUGAAGAGGAAAUUGUCAAGCAGCCGAAGCCAACUCCAAACCCGUUGCCAGUUCCAAAGCCUAAUCCCUUCUUCAACAAUCUGAAUUUGCCACCCAAACUCAAUCUGAGCAGCGAUGAUGAUUCCGAUGAUGAACCACCGCCGCCUGCACCAAAACCAAUUAGCGUUGUGGAUCAUAAUAACAUCAUUACUAACAGUAUUUAUGCACGGACUUCUAUCGAGUCUCUGAAGGAGCAAGCACGCAAGUGGCAUGACAGAAGAGCAGCUGACAGAAAUGACAAUGUUCCGGUCGCUAACGCAACGCCCCCUAAACAACCAAGUGUACCCCAGACGCAAAGGCAAGUGGAAAUCCCAAAGCUGUCAUCCGUAUCACCGGAAAUUCCCAAACUUCGCCGUCAAACCAUGCAUUCGAGUGGUAUAGAGGAGGUCAUGGAGCAAAUGCACGAAAGUGAUCCAGUGGAAAAGCCUAAAGUGCCAAGUCAGGAAAGAAGCCGCAACAAGCAACCGAAAUCAAGCAGAAAAAGUCGCUUUAACAGUGUUGGUCCGCUGCCCUGUUUGGACACCUCUCCAAAACCGAAUGACAACGCGGAUAAAAUCCUGAAUCACCUCGAAGUCGUUAACCAACGAAAUACAUCAAGAUCUCCCAUCAUCAAGGAGUUGGCAGUUGAGCAUAUAAAAAUCGUGUCGCCGAUGCCAAACAGUCCAAUUCCGAUUCGAUUGCCAAGCACGCCCAAAACCCCGGAGAAGAGCUCUAUCAGCAGCAGGAGCAGCAGCAGCGGCGGCAGCAGUGCCCGUAGCAAUAAGAGUGCCCGAGCUCCUAGCAGCAGCAGCAACAGUCAUGCCAGACCAAUGGGCAACUGGGAUGAUGCGCUGCAGCUGCCAGCGCGACCCCAGGGCAUUGAGCGUGGUCUGGCGUUGGAGAAAAUACUGAAAUCCUUCAAGAUGAGAGGCGAAACCUAUCUAGUGGUCAAAUGGAAAGCUAUCUCGGUACUCGAUGCAGUGUCGCUGAGUGGUGUCAUUGAGUUGUACCCGCACAUUGUCAUCGAGUAUUUUGAGAAGCUUCAGCUUCGGUGUCCUCUAGACUAGACGUGCUGCCGGUGUUCUCAGAUCUCGAUGCAGUGUUACGUGGAGCUCUAACUGAUUUAGUUUAGAAAUUGCAACUUCGGUGCCAACUUGAUUAAUGUCAGUGGUCAACUGGAAAGCUCUGUAUUUUAUAAGGUCUUGUAAUCUGUUCUCAUUGAUUAAUGAACUGUUCAUCCAAGCUACUGGUUAAGUUGGAAAACUAUCUCUAAACUCUCUACCAAAAGUUCAAAUUAAAUACUUUAAGAAACUUAAAUUUCGAAGUACGCUAGAGUAAUUUCGGAAUCCGAUUAAUGGUAAGACUCAAGCUCGAUGCGACGAGCUAACAAACAAUUCUCACAAUAAAUCAUCGAAACAAAAGGAAGGUUCAUGGCCAAUAUCUGCUGAUGUCUGCAACUGCUAAUGGUAGAGCUUAUAGAGGUAGCGGGAGUGGGAGUGGAAGUGGGAG